AGACACAGACCAUCAGGGAGGUCCUCCUAAAGACACAGACCACCAGGGAGGUACUACUGAAGACACAGACCACCAGGGAGGUCCUCCUGAAGACACAGACCACCAGGGAGGUCCUACUGAAGACAAAGACCACCAGGAGGUCCUCCUAAA